rnacentral:rRNA from 1 species
GCCGGAUGUUCCACAUGAUCGCAUGUGAUUGUGGGAAAGAUUCUAUCGGCGUGGGAUGGGGUCGCGUCCUAUCAGCUUGUUGGUGAGGUAACGGCUCACCAAGGCUUCGACGGGUAGCCGGCCUGAGAGGGCGACCGGCCACAUUGGGACUGAGAUACGGCCCAGACUCCUACGGGAGGCAGCAGUGGGGAAUAUUGCACAAUGGGCGCAAGCCUGAUGCAGCGACGCCGCGUGAGGGAUGGAGGCCUUCGGGUUGUAAACCUCUUUUGUUUGGGAGCAAGCCUUCGGGUGAGUGUACCUUUCGAAUAAGCGCCGGCUAACUACGUGCCAGCAGCCGCGGUAAUACGUAGGGCGCAAGCGUUAUCCGGAUUUAUUGGGCGUAAAGGGCUCGUAGGCGGCUCGUCGCGUCCGGUGUGAAAGUCCAUCGCUUAACGGUGGAUCUGCGCCGGGUACGGGCGGGCUGGAGUGCGGUAGGGGAGACUGGAAUUCCCGGUGUAACGGUGGAAUGUGUAGAUAUCGGGA